CCACUGAUGGCGUCGAGCAUCGCCGAGGAUGUGAUCGAAUGCGGAAAAUUCUAAACGAGGAGCUUCAUUCCGGAUUUUGUUUGCAAUAAGUGCUGAACUCAUCCUCCAGCUUACAACGAACGGUCAACGGAUGAGGAAGGAGAGGAGGGACAGCAAAGGUACACGCACAAACGUGCACACAUCAGCCUUCUCGGAGAACGAGAACACAGGAGGGGGAGACCGGCAACGUACAGAACCUUUACGCUCCCUCGUGCGUCUAUCUGUGUGUAUGUGUGUGCAUGCCUGCGUGCGUGGCUGUGUGUGUUUUUGCCGCUUCGCAUAACGAGAUCCUACAGGAUCACCUUGCGAAAAACACCAAGAGAGGGGGAGGGGUAGGUGUAUGUGUGUGUGUAUGUGUGCUUGCAUGCGUGCGUGGCUGUGUAUGUGUGUGUGUAUGUGUGCUUACAUGCGUGCGGGGCUGUGUGCGUGUUUUUUGCUGUUUCGCGAUCUCCUACGGAAUCACCUUGCGAAAACACGAGGGGGGGGGGGGGGGGAGGGGAGGGGGGUGUGUGUGUGCUUGCCUGCGUGCUUUGUGUGUGUGUUUUUGCGUUCACUUUCUACGGGAUCACUUUGCGAAAAACACCAAGGGGAGGAGGAGGUGUGUGUGUGUGUAUGUGUUUUUUUUUCUUUGCCGAUUCGCACUCUCGCGGAUUUAGUUGUGUGCGUUAGUUUUUUUUAGUUUUCAAGAAGAAAAAAUCUUCGAAAAAUACCUGGGGGAGGAUGUGUGUAUGAAAGAAUGUACUUCAGAAAAGAAAGUGAAAAAUAAAAAACGAAUAUAAAAUAUGUUAAACGAAGUUUUAAGUGUGUCUGAACUCAUUGCAAUCCGCCCGCUUGGCAAAGAGUAACUCAUUUUAAUGCCUCCCCGCUUGGCAAAGAGUAACUCAUAUUGAUGCCUCUCGCUACCCCUGGCCUUAGUUUUAAAGGAAUCAUGCGACACACUCGCACUCCACUACCCCAUCCCGUGGAAAAACGUUCCCACCAUCGAGGUGUUGACCAAAAUUUCGCUGUGUGCAUGAGACACACACUCGCACUCCUCCAGCCCUCCACAGCUGAACGCUCCCACCGUUGCGAAGUUGCGAGAAUUUUUGCUCUGAGCGUGAGACCCUGAAGCGCAAGGGAUGACACUAUGUGCAAAGACGAUCAUAAUUCGAUAUGGUCAAAAUGCGUCGAUUGUCGUUUCAUUUAUCUGGUAAUGAUGAUUUCACUUCAUCAAAAUUUUAAAUGUUCACAACUAGGCUGAUAACAAUAUUUGAAAUGUAAAUCAGAAUAAAAUCAAUUCAUUUGAAGUAAAAUAAAUACCAUUACACUCUAUUUUGUCCAUAUGAUCAACACUUGUACAUAGUGCCAUUUACUUUGUGUUCUUCACUCUCGCGCUGUGUUGUGAUCGUUCGAAACUCAUCGCCAGAACGAAUGCAAUUUUCAUUUGGGGAGGAUUGGUGCCGGUAGAUGCAGCGAAAAUUAUUAAAUGAUAAUAGAAAAGUGGUUAAGUAAAUCGUGAAAGAUGUCAACGCAGGCGUAAAUGCAUUUUCUUUGUUACAUGAUCUACGGCUAUUUCAUCACCAAAGCUUCUGAAAACAGAUCAAAGCAGAACGAUAGGGCAUACAGAGUCGCCGUUUAAUUUAAAAUAUCUUCGUGAUCGGCAAACGCAUCAAACAGCAAGUGUUUCUCUUCCAACAGCACGCACCAUCGGAGGAUCAAGCAGCUAACGAUUUGAUCGCCAGUACGCCCCAUCAAGAAUUGAUAUUUUGCCAAACAGUACUGUGAAUAAAAAACUGCACACUUACUGUAAGAAUUUCCUGGAAUUUUUUGGUCGGCCUACGCUCAUGGGAAUGGUGUGUCCAUUGAGGAGAAGGAAAGAAAGGGUGGGAGCGAGGAUUAACCAAAAACGCGGCAUUGAGAAUGAGCCACGCAAACAAUGAGACCCCAAAUUUUGAGUGAUUCAGGCCGAGGGGUAUGAGGAAGCUUGAGGAAGCAGGGAGAAACGCGCUGCGAUGAGAGUUCGCAUUCUGUGUUAAACGCGCGCUACACUAACACCAAUACAAAUACCGUGCUUUGACGAGCCGUCUGUGAAUGUGUGUGUGUCUUCUUUCAGCGAGCUCAACUUGGAGCUGCUCGUCACAUCGUGUUGUCUCGCUUACACUACAGCAUCGAACCAUCGCUCCGUAUGUCCCCCCCUCCUACGCGUGCAAAACCACCAGUACAGCGCGACGCUUUGCCGGAGAUGGUUGUGCGUGUUUUGUUCAAAGUCCCGCGCGCAGUGUUUGUGCAUUGAUGCGCAUUUCGUUAUAAGUCUCGUGCGCCGGUGUGUUUUGGUGAAGUGUGCAGUGAAUAAACAGUGUGCACAGACGCACAUGCAGUGCGUGGAUCCACAGGUAAGAAUUUGCUGAACAGAGUCAACGCAGAUUGUCGACAAGUUUCCCGCAGCCUGGCUCGACCCGGUAUGACGUCAUUGGAUUCUAAAUGUGUACUUUAGUGUGUACUUUAUGUUUCAAUAAAGUGUUAAAUGUAAUAAAAAA